AUCAGGAAGAAAGCUUGCUUUCUAUUGCUGGCGACCGGCGCACGGGUGAGUAACACGUAUCCAACCUGCCCUUUACUCGGGGAUAGCCUUUCGAAAGAAAGAUUAAUACCCGAUGGGAUAAUCAUUCCGCAUGGUUUGAUUAUUAAAGGAUUCCGGUAAAGGAUGGGGAUGCGUUCCAUUAGGUUGUUGGUGAGGUAACGGCCCACCAAGCCUUCGAUGGAUAGGGGUUCUGAGAGGAAGGUCCCCCACAUUGGAACUGAGACACGGUCCAAACUCCUACGGGAGGCAGCAGUGAGGAAUAUUGGUCAAUGGGCGAUGGCCUGAACCAGCCAAGUAGCGUGAAGGAUGACUGCCCUAUGGGUUGUAAACUUCUUUUAUAUUAGAAUAAAGUGCAGUAUGUAUACUGUUUUGUAUGUAUAAUAUGAAUAAGGAUCGGCUAACUCCGUGCCAGCAGCCGCGGUAAUACGGAGGAUCCGAGCGUUAUCCGGAUUUAUUGGGUUUAAAGGGAGCGUAGGUGGACUGGUAAGUCAGUUGUGAAAGUUUGCGGCUCAACCGUAAAAUUGCAGUUGAUACUGUCAGUCUUGAGUACAGUAGAGGUGGGCGGAAUUCGUGGUGUAGCGGUGAAAUGCUUAGAUAUCACGAAGACUCCGAUUGCGAAGGCAGCUCACUGGACUGCAACUGACACU
rnacentral:rRNA from 1 species